UGGGGAAUAUUGCACAAUUGGCGCAAGCCUGAUGCAGCCAUGCCGCGUGUGUGAAGAAGGCCUUCGGGUUGUAAAGCACUUUCAGCGGGGUGGAAGGCGUUAAGGUUAAUAACCUUGGCGAUUGACGUUACCCGCAGAAGAAGCACCGGCUAACUCCGUGCCAGCAGCCGCGGUAAUACGGAGGGUGCAAGCGUUAAUCGGAAUUACUGGGCGUAAAGCGCACGCAGGCGGUCUGUCAAGUCGGAUGUGAAAUCCCCGGGCUCAACCUGGGAACUGCAUUCGAAACUGGCAGGCUAGAGUCUUGUAGAGGGGGGUAGAAUUCCAGGUGUAGCGGUGAAAUGCGUAGAGAUCUGGAGGAAUACCGGUGGCGAAGGCGGCCCCCUGGACAAAGACUGACGCUCAGGUGCGAAAGCGUGGGGAGCAAACAGG
rnacentral:rRNA from 1 species